CCUACGGGGGGCAGCAGUGAGGAAUAUUGGUCAAUGGGCGAGAGCCUGAACCAGCCAAGUCGCGUGAGGGAAGACGGCCCUAUGGAUUGUAAACCUCUUUUGCCGGGGAGCAAAAAGCGGUACGUGUACCGCAUCGUGAGUACCCGGUGAAAAAGCAUCGGCUAACUCCGUGCCAGCAGCCGCGGUAAUACGGAGGAUCCGAGCGUUAUCCGGAUUUAUUGGGUUUAAAGGGUGCGCAGGCGGCGUGUUAAGUCAGCGGUAAAAUUUCGGGGCUCAACCCCGACAAGCCGUUGAAACUGGCUUGCUUGAGUGGGCGAGAAGUAUGCGGAAUGCGUGGUGUAGCGGUGAAAUGCAUAGAUAUCACGCAGAACUCCGAUUGCGAAGGCAGCAUACCGGCGCCCAACUGACGCUCAGGCACGAAAGCGUGGGUAUCGAACAGGAUUAGAUACCCCAGUAGUC
rnacentral:rRNA from 1 species